GGGACAGAGAUAACUUGUUCACAGUAGUGAAAAGUUGUGAAAGAAACGAAAAUGCAGUCCACACCGAGAAUAAUUAUUACAAUGUUCCUGAUAGCCACCGUGAUUGCAGGGUCAUCUCAUCAAGACUUAGAGAAACGGCAACUUUACGCAUUUCCCCGCGUGGGUAGGUCGUACCCAAUCCAAAUAUCCCCUGCGAAAUUGGAGGAGAUUCUGUUUGGUAGAAGUCAUG